rnacentral:lncRNA from 1 species
CUGUUAAAAUAAAGAGAUAAAUGAGUUGUAGAAGAAGAAGUUGAAUGCUAUUGACAUAUCCUCCGUCUUUAUAUACAGGUUAGAAGGAGAAGUUUCCUCAACGGGUUAGAGGAUUUCCCUCAACAGAGUAGAGAGAUUUCCUCAACAGUUAGGGAAAUCUCAUCUACUUAUCAUGCCCCCGCAAGAUGGUGCUCCUAUCAAGGAGGCCAAUCUUGGACUGAUGUAAUGCAAACAGUUUNN